rnacentral:rRNA from 1 species
CUACGUGCCAGCAGCCGCGGUAAUACGGAAGGUCCGGGCGUUAUCCGGAAUUAUUGGGUUUAAAGGGAGCGCAGGCGGGAGUAUAAGUCAGCUGUUAAAUAUCAGGGCCCAACUCUGUUAUGCAGUUGAAACUAUAUUUCUUGAGUACGCACAGGGAUGGCGGAAUUCAGGGUGUAGCGGUGAAAUGCUUAGAUAUCCUGAAGAACUCCGAUCGCGAAGGCAGCCAUCCGGAGCGUAACUGACGCUGAGGCUCGAAGGUGCGGGUAUCGAACAGGAUUAGAUACCCUGGUAGUCCGCACGGUAAACGAUGGAUGCCCGCUGUUGGUACCUGGUAUCAGCGGCUAAGCGAAAGCAUUAAGCAUCCCACCUGGGGAGUACGCCGGCAACGGUGAAACUCAAAGGAAUUGACGGGGGCCCGCACAAGCGGAGGAACAUGUGGUUUAAUUCGAUGAUACGCGAGGAACCUUACCCGGGCU